UACAGAGGGUGCGAGCGUUAAUCGGAAUUACUGGGCGUAAAGCGCACGUAGGUGGCGACGUAAGUCGGGUGUGAAAGCCCCGGGCUCAACCUGGGAAUUGCAUUCGAGACUGCAUUGCUGGAGUACGGAAGAGGAAGGCGGAAUUCCCGGUGUAGCGAUGAAAUGCGUAGAUAUCGGGAGGAACAUCAGUGGCGAAGGCGGCCUUCUGGUCCAGUACUGACACUCAAGUGCGAAAGCGUGGGGAGCAAACAGG
rnacentral:rRNA from 1 species